AUAAGGACACCGCUCAAUAUAAUGCACUCCAAUAAACAUUAUCCACAAUGUCCUCAAUGAUAAACAAAGUAUAAUAACCACCUUUUUGACAAUCUCAACAAAAACUGAAAAUGUAUGUGUGGCAGAGCUGUUGUAUUUGAUUGCAUUAGAUUGCACAGGUGUACCUAAUCAAGUGGUUGGUGACUGUACAUCCUAUUAAAAAUGAUAAUGGAACAGUCUUGCAUCCUAUUCAUCUCAGUAUGGACUUACGUGUUUGCUGAAUGACAACAGAUGAGUCACCAGUUCUUUUUUUUCUUUUCUCAUCUCUCUCUUUCAGGUUAGCGCAGUUUCAGAGGAUCACCACACUGAAUCUUGAGCCAAAAUUCAUGGCAAUGUUGGACUUCUAUGCACCUAAACUGCUGUCCUUGUUUCAAACGAAGAAAGGUGCUGCAGGAGAGAGACAUCGGGCACAAAUGAGUGUUCUACUUAAGAGUGGAAUCCCCAUUCAACAGACCCGUGAGGUUGUCAUCCGAUGUCUCAUCAAUCAUUUGGGAGAAGAUGCCAGUGCCUUGUUCAAGGACUUUGAGGAUGCUGCUGAUGGAUCUGCCAGUGUUCAAGAGGAGUUGGCAGAAGAGGUCAUGAAGAUUUACCUGCUGCGGAAACAAGAUGGGUCAUUGGAUGUUGGGA